rnacentral:rRNA from 1 species
CCUACGGGGGGCAGCAGUGAGGAAUAUUGGUCAAUGGACGAGAGUCUGAACCAGCCACGCAGCGUGAAGGAUGACUGCCCUAUGGGUUGUAAACUUCUUUUAUAAAGGAAUAAAACGAGGCACGUGUGCCUUUUUGCAUGUACUUUAUGAAUAAGGAUCGGCUAACUCCGUGCCAGCAGCCGCUGUAAUACGGAGGAUCCGAGCGUUAUCCGGAUUUAUUGGGUUUAAAGGGAGCGUAGAGGGGUUGUUAAGUCAGGUGUGAAAGUUUGGGGCUCAACCGUAAAAGUGCAAUUGAUACUGGCAGGCUUGAGUACAGUUGAGGUAGGCGGAAUUCGUGGUGUAGCGGUGAAAUGCUUAGAUAUCACGAAGAACCCCGAUGGCGAAGGCAGCUUACUAAACUGUGACUGACAUUGAGGCUCGAAAGUGUGGGUAGCAAACAGGAUUAGAUACCCCUGUAGUC